rnacentral:rRNA from 1 species
GUAGGUGGCAAGCGUUGUCCGGAAUUAUUGGGCUAAAGCGCGCGCAGGCGGUUCUUUAAGUCUGAUGUGAAAGCCCACGGCUCAACCGUGGAGGGUCAUUGGAAACUGGAGAACUUGAGUACAGAAGAGGAAAGCGGAAUUCCACGUGUAGCGGUGAAAUGCGUAGAGAUGUGGAGGAACACCAGUGGCGAAGGCGGCUUUCUGGUCUGUAACUGACGCUGAGGCGCGAAAGCGUGGGGAGCAAACAGGGAUUAGAUACCCUGGUAGUCCACGCCGUAAACGAUGAGUGCUAAGUGUUAGGGGGUUUUCCGCCCCCUUAGUGCUGCAGCUAACGCAUUAAGCACUCCGCCUGGGGGUACGCCGCAAGGCUG